rnacentral:rRNA from 1 species
AACUUAUAAUAGUUACAACUUUCAACAACGGAUCUCUUGGUUCUGGCAUCGAUGAAGAACGCAGCGAAAUGCGAAAAGUAGUGUGAAUUGCAGAAUUCAGUGAAUCAUCGAAUCUUUGAACGCACAUUGCGCCCCUUGGUAUUCCAUGGGGCAUGCCUGUUCGAGCGUCAUU